UACGUAGGGAGCAAGCGUUGUUCGGAUUUACUGGGCGUAAAGGGCGCGUAGGCGGCAAUUCAAGUCAUCUGUGAAAUCUCCGGGCUUAACUCGGAACGGUCAGAUGAUACUGCUUUGCUAGAGUGCAGAAGGGGCAAUCGGAAUUCUCGGUGUAGCGGUGAAAUGCGUAGAUAUCGAGAGGAACACCUGCGGCGAAGGCGGGUUGCUGGGCUGACACUGACGCUGAUGCGCGAAAGCUAGGGGAGCGAACGGG
rnacentral:rRNA from 1 species